rnacentral:rRNA from 1 species
CUUCGGAAUGAAUUUGAUUUAGUUUAGUGGCGGACGGGUGAGUAACGCGUUACUCUACCUGCCUUCAAGAGGGGGAUAACAUUCUGAAAAGAAUGCUAAUACCGCAUGACAUAUCGGAACCACAUGGUUCUGAUAUCAAAGAUUUUAUCGCUUGAAGAUGGACUCGCGUCCGAUUAGUUAGUUGGUGAGGUAACGGCUCACCAAGACCGCGAUCGGUAGCCGGACUGAGAGGUUGAACGGCCACAUUGGGACUGAGACACGGCCCAGACUCCUACGGGAGGCAGCAGUGGGGGAUAUUGCGCAAUGGGGGCAACCCUGACGCAGCAACGCCGCGUGAAGGAUGAAGGUUUUCGGAUUGUAAACUUCUUUUAUUAAGGACGAAAAAUGACGGUACUUAAUGAAUAAGCUCCGGCUAACUACGUGCCAGCAGCCGCGAUAAUACGUAGGGAGCAAGCGUUGUCCGGAUUUACUGGGUGUAAAGGGUGCGUAGGCGGCUUUGCAAGUCAGAUGUGAAAUCUAUGGGCUCAACCCAUAAACUGCAUUUGAAACUGUAGAGCUUGAGUGAAGUAGAGGCAGGCGGAAUUCCCCGUGUAGCGGUGAAAUGCGUAGAGAUGGGGAGGAACACCAGUGGCGAAGGCGGCCUGCUGGGCUUUAACUGACGCUGAGGCACGAAAGCGUGGGUAGCAAACAGGAUUAGAUACCCUGGUAGUCCACGCUGUAAACGAUGAUUACUAGGUGUGGGGGGUCUGACCCCUUCCGUGCCGGAGUUAACACAAUAAGUAAUCCACCUGGGGA